CCUAGAGCUGUGUCCUUUGCACAGUUUUCUGGUCUGGGGCAGAAGUCUGGGAAAAGGAGUACAGCUGCAGGCUCAAGGUAGAGAUGUUUUGUCACGGGUGGCUGGUGUUAGGAGCUGGCAGGGUUAUUAAACUUCCUAAGAAGAAUAACCCAGAACGUGCUCUGGAGCAGACAGGGCCAACUGGACAAAUAUGGAGACUCGCUCAGACCCCACCCAGAAGAAGACCUUAGAGCUCCAGCCAAUGAGAGUAAGACUGAGGUUCGUUUUGGCUCACAACUCUGCCUUUUGGUCUGGAGUUUCUGGAAGCAGGUUCUAGAAGGACUGACCACAGAGUUACGCAACAGUCUCCUGCCUCUGACCCACCUAAUCUGAAAGGAAAAGCACUGUGGCCUGGCAUCUAGCUCCUCACCAGAAGAUCUCGCCACAGAAGCAACACACCCUGAUGGCUGUUUAUGCUUUUUGCUUUUAAUUCCUCUUCCUCUAUAUUGAAAGGUCAAGGUUGCGAAUUUGACUCAAUUUGUGAAGCUUGCAGUUAGUAAAGGAGAAAAAAAAAGUCAGAAGAAGGCAGUCACUGUUCCCUUUGCCUAGGCCAGCAGCCUCAGUGUGACACUCUUGCGUCUAGCUAUGCUUUCCUGGACAAGUUACCAGGUGACAGCUUCUCCGGCCACGUGACUGGCACCGUGACCACGUGAGCCCCAGUGGCAUAGGAAGCAUUAUCUCUAUCUCACUGAGUGCUUCUGAUCCAUGGGGGGACAGGGCUUGGCCAGCCAUAGAGAAUCUCUGUUGACACCACUUUCUCUUGGUUCUAGCACAAGUUUCUCUAUUUCAGAGGAGGAAGGUUUGCCUGGAACAGCAGAUGAAGGUCCAGAAGACAGGGUGUGAAGACUGAGAUGGCCAGGCUCCACAGCAACCUCACAGCUGUGUGUUCAAGCUCUGAAUGCAUACUUGGCCAUACAUGCAAUUUUUGAAACUGCCUAGCAAGAUAAAGCUGGGAAGAGAGGAUGAGACUGAAGACAGAAAGACAAGCAAUGGUACACCCCAUUCCUCAGCUCUGCACCCCAGUUCCCAGACAGGGCAGCGGGUUAGACCACACUGGUCACACACAUACUCCAGAGGUUUCUGCUACAUACUCUACAGCCUGAGCAGACAGCUGUGGAAGAUGAACCCUCUCAUGGAACCGAGUGUUCUCUACCUCACUGUCAAGGGUGUACAGAGAAAUGAACCUUUGGGAUGAGAUGAACACAAACACAGAUUAAACAUGGUCCCUGUGAUCAGACAGCAAGCCACUGGGCAGGGGGCUCUCCCUCUGGCUUUGUGUGUCAGGAGGAUGGUGGUCUAGCACUAGCAUUGAGAGUCUGUAAACUCCGUUUUCUGUUCUCAGUUACUGAGGCUCCAAUUCUACACUUUCCCAUCUUCAACUUUAUGGAGAUAAAAUCAAAAUACUUUAAACUUUCAAUAUUCAGCUGUAGCGUAUUUCAUUUAAUAGUUCUGACAUCUCCAUUCCCCCUAAAACUAUGAUCACAAUUAAAGACAUUUCCAUCACUCCUGAAUUCCCUCGUAUAGUUGGGUAACCCGGCCUUAUGGAUUGAAUAUGAAAUGUGCCUCAGAGGCUCUUGUCUUUGAUUACUUGGUUCCCAGCCGGUAGUGCUGUUUUGGAAGGAGAUGGAGCCUCAGGGGAGGAAGCGGGUCUCUGGGGGUAGGGAUUUGAAGUUCCUAUAGCUAGGCCCUACUUUCUGUUUGCUUUCUGCUUCCUGACUGUAGACACAGUGUGAGCAGCUGCCUGAUACUCCCACGUUUGCCAUGAUGCUCCACCGCAGCGGGUUGCAUCCCUUCAUGAUCUGCAAGCCAAAUAAACUCUUCCUUCCUUGA